rnacentral:rRNA from 1 species
UACGAAGGGGGCUAGCGUUGUUCGGAAUUACUGGGCGUAAAGCGUAUGCAGGCGGAUCGUUAAGUCGGGGGUGAAAUCCCGAGGCUCAACCUCGGAACUGCCUUCGAUACUGGCGAUCUUCGAGUCCGGGAGAGGUGAGUGGAACUCCGAGUGUAGAGGUGAAAUUCGUAGAUAUUCGGAAGAACACCAGUGGCGAAAGGCGGCUCACUGGCCCGGUACUGACGCUGAGAUACGAAAGCGUGGGGAGC